rnacentral:rRNA from 1 species
UACCGUAGGGACGAACGUCGUACUACCGGGAACUUAACCUACGGGUAGGGGUAAAGGGUUACGGGUAGGCGGCCCAUUAAGUCAGAUGUGGAAAGCCCCGGAGCUCAACUCCGGGAUUGCAUUUGAAACUGGUGGGCUAGAGUACAGGAGAGGAAAGUGGAAUUCCUAGUGUAGCGGUGAAAUGCGUAGAUAUUAGGAAGAACACCAGUGGCGAAGGCGGCUUUCUGGACUGUAACUGACGCUGAGGUACGAAAGCGUGGGGAGCGAACAGGAUUAGAUACCCCCGUAGU